UACAGAGGGUGCAAGCGUUAAUCGGAUUUACUGGGCGUAAAGGGCGCGUAGGCGGUUAUUUAAGUUUGAUGUGAAAUCCCUGGGCUUAACCUAGGAACUGCAUUGAAUACUGGAUAACUGGAGUACUGUAGAGGGUAGUGGAAUUUCCGGUGUAGCGGUGAAAUGCGUAGAGAUCGGAAGGAACACCAGUGGCGAAGGCGGCUACCUGGACAGAUACUGACGCUGAGGCGCGAGAGCGUGGGGAGCAAACAGG
rnacentral:rRNA from 1 species